rnacentral:rRNA from 1 species
CGCCUUUUGAAGUAUAAACCUAAAAGGUCCUGCCUGCCCAAUGACUUGUUUUAAUGGCCGCGGUAUAAUGACCGUGCAAAGGUAGCGUAAUCAUUUGUCUCCUAAAUAGGGACCAGUAUGAAUGGCAAAACGAAAGCCUCACUGUCUCUCUAACCCAGUCAAUGAAAUUGAUCUUCCCGUGCAGAAGCGGGAAUAAAAAUAUAAGACGAGAAGACCCUGUGGAGCUUUAAACUUAAGUUAACAAACAUAAUGCUUUAACACCCAGUUUUAGGUUGGGGCGACCAUGAGGUACAACAUAACCCUCACGAUAAUAAAUAGAAGGACACUUCAAAUAACUAAUAUAGCAUAUUGACCCAAUAAUUGAUCAACGAACCAAGUUACCCCAGGGAUAACAGCGCAAUCCGCUCAAAGAGUCCAUAUCGACGAGCAGGUUUACGACCUCGAUGUUGGAUCAGGACCCCCAAAUAACGCAACAGUUAUUAAAGGUUCGUUUGUUCAACGAUUAAAGUCCU